CCGUCGUUCUCCUUGACGCCCACAUCUCCAUCUACAGCCCACAUCCCCCUCAGUGCAACCGUUCAGCUCAGAGGUCACCUUCCCUGGGAACCUUCAGGGAGAAACAUCCGGCUGGGGUGAGGCGUCUGUGUCCUGUGCUUUCUCGCAGCACCACAGAGGCUGCGCUGUAGCUGACCCAGGGGCGAGGGGCCAGGCACAGGUGAGAACUCUCCAGGGAGAACACAUGCCAUGCUUUGCCUGCUGGUAUAUCUCUAAUAUGUAGCCCUGGGCCUGCCGAGAGUUGGAACUGAAUACAUAAUGAAUUGAUGAAUGAACACCUUCCUUCCCUCUACAGUCCCCCCCGGUCAGGAACUCAGGAAAAGGAGGCACUAACGUGCAAACCAGAUGCCUAACACCCAGGAUUUAAGAGCGCUCCUGUGCUUCUCCCAGCCCGCUAUCAAAGGCAAGUGGGGUAACAUGAGGUGAAAAGAGGAAGGGACAGAAGACUGAAAGGAAGGCGUUCAUCACGUUUCUUGAUCGAUGAAAAGGUUAAGUAGACAAGUCCAUAGACCUGGGUCGGGCUGCCCCAGAAUGCUCCCUGCCUGGGCUCUGCCGACAGGGGCAGAGGCAGUCUUUCUGGGUCGGUCCCACGAAGGAGCCAGUCCUGGGCCACGGUGCUCAGGUCCUCCGAGGUGUUCUGUCCGGCUGGGCUCCUGGUGGGUGGCAUCAGCCUGGGCCAUGAUCAGUCCUGGGGUCCCACCCCAUCGUUCUCUGUCAGCCUGGGCCUUAGGCAGUGGUUGGCCCGCCUGCCCAGCCAUACGGGGGCAGGAUGGCCUGGACGAGAGGGGGGCGGAGGAGACCCUGGUGGUGCUGGGGAGCAAUCUAGCAGUGAGGCGGUGUGAGCACGGGCCAGGGGCGGGGCUCAGAUGAUACAGUGCUCUUGGGCCUUCUCUCCCAAGUAAAAGCGGCUGAAGAGGAAGGGGCUCAGGUUGAUGGUCUGGAAGUGGCCCUCCAGCAUCACCUCUGCCACAGCCCGGCCCACGGCGGGGGCCUGCUGGAGCCCGUGGCCACUGAAGCCCGUCGCAAAGUACAUGUUGACGACGAGGGGGUGAGGGCCCACCACGCCAUUCUGGUCAAAGGUGUUGUAGUCGUAGUAGCCAGCCCAAGCGCGCCGCACCUGCGGGGCACAGGACGCGGUGCGUCGGGAGGGCUGCCCCGCGCUCCGCCCCACCCACUCCCGGCUGGGCUCGGCGCACGGUACCCUCCACCACCGCUGAGCGCGCUCACGGGACGGGUCCUGUGAGGCAGGGGCCCCAACGGGGCCCAGAUGCUCUGGGGUCAUCUGUCUCCAUCCAGUUACCUUUAGAGUCUCAAAAGCUGGUACUCUCUGGGCCAGAUGGGGCCACACCUUCUCCUGGAAGAAAUCAUGGUCCACUUCCAGGUUCCCUGGGUCUGGUUCCUCCUCCUGGGGGCAGAGGUGGGGACAAGGCUUACGUUGCCCAGGACACACAUCAGACCCAGGCCUCGCUGGCCUCUUUAAUCUGUCCGCUUGGUAAGUGGUGGAUGGGGGUAAGAGACCCCAAGUCAAAGCCAGAGGGGACCGUGACAUCAGUACCAGCACUAGGCCCGCCAAAGAAGCCUGACUGCUCAGCGAUACCCGGUCUCUGUCUUCUCCCCGGCACCCCGACCCCACAGAGCUCACCUCAGCGGGGCUACAGCCGCCCAGGUAGUUGUUGCUGAGUCCUUCCCGGCGGAAAUAGGCUCCGCUGGGGUCUGCGACAAGCGGAGCCUCCAGGCCUGGUCCCUGGGGGCAGUGCCACAAGUACACAUACCUGCCGUGACCAGCGGCGUUAGAAGCGGCGAGAACAGCAACUCCCUUCCCCGACUCUCCUCUCACCCCCACCCGGCUCCACGGCCCUGGGCAAGUCACCUUUUCCUCGGCUCCACGGGCAGCUUGGUACCCUGAAGAGUACCAGACGGCCCCUUCCCAAUGCCAGCCAGCUCUGCGAUUCGCCCAGACCAGGCUCCCGCUGCAUUGACCACUAUGGAGCAUUCCACGGGCUGGUACUCCUGGCUGUGGUCCACCUUCACCUAUGGGCACCAGAGAGGGGGGUGGAGGGAGCAGUCCAGUUCUUCCUGAACCUCAGUUUACCCACACUGGAAGUGGGUAGCAGAAGAUCAAAAUAACAGCUGUUACGUUUCUCAUUAGGUAAAGGAGACACCUAGGCUGGGAACUUACAUGGACUUCAUGGAUCCUUUUCAAAGUCACCUUCUCCCCGAUGGCGGUCUCCAUGUGGUUAGAUGAAGAGACGAAACCUGCAUGAAAAAGGAAAGGAAAUAAGCCCUUGAGGCCUCAAAGAGGAAGGAGAUGGAGAUUCCACUGGUUUCCUGAGGAAAGAAAGCUGGAAGGCUGGAAGCUUUCCCACAGACACUGAAGCAAAGAGACAGGGUAACCGGGAUGAACUUGGCCGCACAGGACAGGAGGGUGCCAAAAUCUUCAAGCAGAUCACGAGUCACGGCCAAAUGCAGUUAGGAGCCAGGGUCAGGAUGCCCAGGACCAGUCCCCAGGGGAGAACCCCCUGUCCUGAGAAAGCACAGCCCUUGCUCAGCCUGUGCGUGAAGGUAAGACCCUGUCUGGGCUGGCGUCCUGGCUGGCAGAGGUCACAAGCAGUGGACAUGGGGCCGCAGACUCACGUGUCACCUCUCCGUGGCAGAAAAGGACCCCCAUGGACUGGACCUUUCGCCGAAGCCCCUGGAGCAGACACCAGGGGUCAAACCAACCUUCGUUCUCCAACCCUGUGCGGAGAACGAGGAUGCGUGAAGGCGGGCUAGGACCCUCCUCUCCUGUUGUCUCUCCUGCACCCCUAAAUCUUCUUUAGGGCUCGUAAGCUGGGGAGUCACAUUGACCAACUGCACCAGAGUCAGAUCCCGCGGAAGGACAGAGAGCCGGCCCGGCCCGGGAGAGGCCCUGCAGCCAGGAGGGAAGCGCUCCUCCUUGACUCGGCUGCAGGGUGCCGAGACUCCUAACCUGAGGCGCCCCUCAACCCCUGACGCCCUCUGCACGCAAGCCUCACCGUAAGAUGCCAAAGCCACUCCCUCCGUGUUCAUCCAGGGAAACUUCUUCCGAAGCUGCUCCGGAGACAUCAGGCAAACUUUGGCUCCUUGCUGCCUGGAGAAAUGUGUGGGUCUACGUAUGUGUGCUGGACCUCUCUCUCCCCUGAGGCCAGGCUCCUGGACCAAGAGAUCCCGGCACACCUAGAGCCGCACUGCCCUCUGAAGCACGGACCUCUGAGUGGCACCUUAUCCUGGAUAUCCAUCGCCAGCAGCAAACCUACAUUCAUGUUGUCUGUUAUCAAGUCCUGACGACUGUGCCUCUUAAAUAUCUCCCCAAUCUGUCCCCUUUUUUCCCCAUCUCUACCACCACUGCCCUAGACCAAACCACGAUGUCUCUCCCACCUAAACCGUUAAAAGCUCCUGUUUCCACUCAUUCCCCUCUUGUCUAACCCCCCAACUUCUUUUCUAUAUCACGGCUAGAAUGAUCUCUUCUAAACACUAAUUUAAUCACACACUCUCUUGCUUAAAACCCUCCAGUGGGUUUCCAUUACCCUAAGGAUAAAAGUCCAAAAUCUUUCACGUGGCCUGCGAGACACUGCAUGAUCUGGCUCCUGUUUGCCCUGUCCUCCCCGAACGCUCCAGCCUCAGCCCCUUCAUUCCCGCCACAGGGGAUCCACACAGGUGUUCUCCCUGCUUUGAAACUCUGUGCCCACUUCUUUGCCCAGCUAACUCCUUGCUUCCUUUAGAUCUCAGCUCAGUUAUCAUUUUCUCAGGGAUGGCUUCUUUCCUGACCCCCUAGACUGUGCCAAGUUCUCCUGUCAUGCUAUCUCAUAGGUGCGUGAACCACUCUUUUGCAGCAUGCAACACACUUGCAACUUUGAGUUUAUCUGUGAUUGCUUCAUGCUGUACUAUGUACUAUGUACUAGAUUCUCCAUAGAAUCUCCAGUCUAGAACAGUACCUGGCACAUCCUAA